UGAACCUGUGGAAGGAUCAUUG
rnacentral:rRNA from 1 species